rnacentral:rRNA from 1 species
UGGGGAAUCUUGCGCAAUGGGCGAAAGCCUGACGCAGCCAUGCCGCGUGAAUGAUGAAGGUCUUAGGAUUGUAAAAUUCUUUCACCGGGGACGAUAAUGACGGUACCCGGAGAAGAAGCCCCGGCUAACUUCGUGCCAGCAGCCGCGGUAAUACGAAGGGGGCUAGCGUUGCUCGGAAUUACUGGGCGUAAAGGGAGCGUAGGCGGACAUUUAAGUCAGGGGUGAAAUCCCGGGGCUCAACCUCGGAAUUGCCUUUGAUACUGGGUGUCUUGAGUGUGAGAGAGGUAUGUGGAACUCCGAGUGUAGAGGUGAAAUUCGUAGAUAUUCGGAAGAACACCAGUGGCGAAGGCGACAUACUGGCUCAUUACUGACGCUGAGGCUCGAAAGCGUGGGGAGCAAACAGGAUUAGAUACCCUGGUAGUCCACGCCGUAAACAAUGAUUGCUAGUUGUCGGGAUGCAUGCAUUUCGGUGACGCAGCUAACGCAUUAAGCAAUCCGCCUGGGGAGUACGGUCGCAAGAUUA